rnacentral:rRNA from 1 species
CACGUAGGGCGCAAGCGUUGUCCGGAAUUACUGGGCUUGAAGCGCACGUAGGCGGCGUUGUAAGUGUCGGGUGAAAUCCCACGGCUCACCCGUGGAACUGCCCGGCAUACUGCGAUGCUAGAGUGUGGUAGGGGAGAGCGGAACUCCUGGUGGAGCGGUGAAAUGCGUAGAUAUCAGGAGGAACACCGGUGGCGAAGGCGGCUCACUGGACCGGAACUGACGCUGAGGCGCGAAAGCGUGGGGAGCAAACGGG